GGGGGGUGGGGGGUUUCCUAUUUUUGGGAGGAAUUCUCUUUUUUGGAGAGGAAUUCCCAUUUUUUUGCGGGGAAAUUCCCAUUUUUUGGGGUGAUUCCCAUUUCUUGGUGUGAUUCCCAUUUUUUGGGGGGAAAUUCCCGUUUUUGGGGUGGGGAAUUCCCAUUUUUGGGGUCUCCACAGUUUUUGGGGUUCCAGAUUUUCCCUGGCUUUGAGGAUUCUCUCUGGUUUUUAUGGGGUUUCCGUGUUUUGGGAGAAUUUUCCCUGGUUUUUAUGGGGUUUCUCUGUUUUGGGGGGAUUUUCCCUGUUUUUGAUGGGGUUUCUCUGGUUUUUAUGGGGUUUCCCUGUUUUUUAUGGGGUUUCCCUGUUUUUUAUGGGGUUUCUCUGUUUUGGGGGGAUUUUCCCUAUUUUUUAUGGGGUUUCCCUGUUUUUCAUGGGAUUUCUCUGGUUUUUUAUGGGGUUUCUCUGUUUUUUACAGGAUUUCUCUCUUUUGGGGGGAAUUUUCUCUGUUUUUGGGGGAUUUCCCCUGCUUUUUAUGGGGUUUCCCUGUUUUGGGGGAUUUUCCCUGGUUUUUAUGGGGUUUCUCUGUUUUUAUGGGGUUUCUCUGGUUUUUAUGGGGUUUCUCUCUUUUGGGGGGAAUUUUCUCUGUUUUGGGGGGAUUUUCCCUGUUUUUUAUGGGGUUUCCCUGUUUUGGGAGGAUUUUCCCUGUUUUUUAUGGGGUUUCCCUGUUUUGGGAGAAUUUUCCCUGGUUUUUAUGGGGUUUCCCUGUUUUGGGAGAAUUUUCCCUGUUUUUUAUGGGGUUUCUCUGUUUUUUAUGGGUUUUCCCUGGUUUUUAUGGGGUUUCCCUGGUUUUCAUGGGGUUUCUCUCUUUUGGGGGGAAUUUUCUCUGUUUUUUGGGGAAUUUUCCCUGCUUUUUGAUGGGGUUUGGGGACAUCGAGAUUGACACAAGGGUGGGGACAUGGGGACAGGGGGACACCGGGAUUUGGGGACAUCGGGAUUGGCAGCGGGAUGGGGACAGGGACACAGGACAGGGACACGGGGAUAUCAGGAUGGGGACAGGGACCUCAGGGCCUGGUGGCGCCGCUGGCACAGGGACAUGGGGACAUCGGGAUUGGGGACAUCGGGAUUGACUCGGGGACAGGGACACGGGGACAUUGGGAUGGGCACCGGGAUGGGGACAGGGACAUGGAUAAGGGGAUGGGGACAAGGACAGGGACACAGGGACACGAGGAUGGGGACGGGGAAGGGGACAGGGGCCUGGUGGCGCUGCUGGCACAGGGACAAGGACACGGGGACACCGGGGUUGGGGACAUCGGGAUUGACCCGGGGACAUUGGGAUCGGCACCAGGAUGGGGACAGGGACACGGAUGGGGACAAGGACACGGGGACAGGGACAGGAAUGGGGACAGGGAAAAGGGGAUGGGGACAAGGACAGGGAUAUGGGGACAGGGACCUCGGGGCCUGGCAGUGCCACUGGCACAGGGACAAGGACACGGGGACACCGGGAUUUGGGACACCGGGACUGGGACACCGGGAUUGACUCGGGGACAUCGGGACGGGGACACGGGCGCAGGGAUGCAGACAGGGACAGGGAUUUGGGGACAUCGGGAUUUGGGGACAUCGGGGUUUGGGGACAUCGGGGUUUGGGGACAUCAGGAAUCUGGGGCCUGGUGGCAUCACUGGCGCGGGGCCAAGGCCGCAGGGACACGCGUGACACGCUCGGGGACACGCGCAGAGGACACGCGUGACACGCUCAGGUACGCGUGACACGCUCGGGGACACGCAGGGGACACGCGUGUGCAGCCCCGGGUGACGCAGCAGCCGCCUCGCGGCCGGGCCGGGGGGGCCUGGCAGCCCCGGGUGUCCCCUGGGUGUCCCUUGGGUGUCCCCUGGGUGUCCCUUGGGUGUCCCUGGCACACCUGGCACACCUGGCACACCUGGCACACCUGGCACACCCCCCGUGUCCCUUGCACGCCCCCCCGGCUCCUUCCAGCACCUUCCCCGCCCCUGCCCGGCCCUUGCACGCCCCUGCGGCACCGCAGCGGCGCCUUGCACACUCACCCACCCUGAGCCUUGCACACCCAUCCCUGAGCCUUGCACACCCACCCUGAGCCUUGCACACCCACCCUGAGCCU
rnacentral:lncRNA from 1 species